UACGGGGGGAGCAAGCGUUGUUCGGAUUUACUGGGCGUAAAGGGCGCGUAGGCGGUCAGUGCAAGUCAGUUGUGAAAUCUCCGGGCUUAACUCGGAACGGUCAACUGAUACUGCUCGACUAGAGUGCGGAAGGGGCAACUGGAAUUCUUGGUGUAGCGGUGAAAUGCGUAGAUAUCGAGAGGAACACCUGCGGCGAAGGCGGGUUGCUGGGCCGACACUGACGCUGAUGCGCGAAAGCCAGGGGAGCGAACGGG
rnacentral:rRNA from 1 species